CUUAUAUUAAAGAUGGUCCCACCCAAGCUACAUACGCGAUCAUUAUCGACUAUUGCACGACUUGGGAACAAUGGAAAAAAAGAUCGUGCCUUUAUAGACAGUAUUAUCUUAUACCUCGGGCCGUACGAUUUAUCAUGAUCAAGAGUCUAGAGUUCAUGAUCUUGCAAUAUCAUAACUGCAGCUGUAUCGAUAAUGCCUAUUACAUUAUCAGUCUUUGGACGGGCACAUAUUCAUAGAUUCUGCUAUAGCUAUAGACAAAACUACUCGAGGCCAAACAGGGCACGUCGCCAUUGGGAGGCACGAUCUCCAUCUCGCCGAAGCUCAAUAUCUUCGUUGCCGAAGAUGUAUCUACAUGUAAUGAAAAGAAGAAAGAAAGAGAGAAUAUUCAGCAAAUUACUCUCAGAAAUUUCGUACCUUUGGGUUAGAAUGGAAUGAUAAAUUCAUGUGGACGUCAUGGAUUCACGGAUUUCACAAGUUAUCUCCCUUCGUUUCAAUAAAGAGUCAUUUUGGACGCGUGGGAGAUUUCCGUCGACAUACACCAACGGUUCCCAGGUCCUAAAGUUGAUCAACCCUUGGUCUCAAUCCCAAUCCAAGGUUGCGCCUUUUGACCAAGCGUCCUAUCUGGUGAUUGAUCUUGCUGUCGGAGCAAUGGACGGCUGGUUUCCAGACGGAAAGGGCGGCAAACCAUGAACAGAUGAUUCUGCUUCGGCAAUGUCUGAUUUCUGGGAGGCCGAAUCGAAGUGGUGGAGAGCAAGUUGGUCUUCUGAUCCAACAGUGUGAGGUUUUGCUAUUGACAGUGUCAAGAUGUAGAGGACAUGCUAGUGCACAGGAAAGACUUGCGGAUACACCUAUCACGAUGCAUUUGUGAU
rnacentral:sRNA from 1 species